GUUUUGACAGUAGUUUUGUUUACCUUUCUCUUUUUAAAAAUGUUGCCUGUUUUUGUUCUUUUUUUCUUUUGGCUCUUCAGAAUAUUUAUUCAUUUUUCACAUAGCAUAUGAAAGGGAAAGUGACUACUGAAUUUAAAAAUGAAAUUUUUUUAGGAAUGCUGAAGUCUUUCAAAAGUUACUGAACAUCUAUUAUAUGCUAACUUCUGAAAAACUGAAGUUAAAUCAGAGCCACUUCACUGUAAUGUCUCCUGAGAUCCAGGGCAAAUGAAGGACGGGAAAGCCCCCAAACCUUGUGGUCUGUGUCGACGCUGCCUCAGUGCUGCUGGAGCAUAGCAAUGCCCAGAUUUGUGUUUACAUGUGAAUUCAACCUGAUCAGUGCCACGGGAGUCUGAAGAGGGAGGGUUUCAUCAGAACCAUCCAAGGAAAUCCUCCGUGAACCAAUGGUGCAUUAUUUAUUUUUCAGCUCUGAAAAUGAAUACAAUGUCUACAAUUCAUCAAGUCUUCUUCAUAAUGUUGAAAUAUUUCUUAAUGUCUGUCAGGAAUAAACACUCAAAAACGU
ensembl:lncRNA novel transcript